ACCGUGAUAGCUCAGGUGAUAGAGCAUCUUCCCGGUAUGCGGAAGGUCGCCAGUUCAAUUCCGGCUUGCGGUG
rnacentral:tRNA from 1 species